rnacentral:lncRNA from 1 species
UUUCAAUUAUAUCAUCUGGGUCUGUUCAAACUUUUUACUAACUCUGUUUUGAGUUACAUGUUUAAGUUGCAUUUUUUUAAUAAAUAUAAGGCACUCUGAAAAGCUUGCCCCAUGGCAGCAUACAUUGCAAAAACUAUCAGUCAACCAAAAAUCACGCCUUUCAAAUCUGAGCAUUAGCUCAGUAAGAGGCGUGGUGAAGGGCAAGCUUGUUUGCUCUGUAAUUAACUGAUUAUUUUACUACCAUUCAAUUUCCCAAUUUAAACACAGACUUGAGUCGAGCACCUGUGCCUCAGUUACUCCUGACUGUAAAAAAGCUGAGGAGGAAACAAAACAAAAGAAAAGAAAACAAAGCAAAAAAAAAAAAAAAAAAAAGGUCACUUUAAAAAAGGGAGUUAAAGAGCCAAUGUCAACAAAAUUUGUUUUGAUUAUGAUGAUACAACUACCUACAUGAAGGCUCCAAAAUCAUUACUGUUGUCUGUGCAUGUGCACCUAUUUCAGUAAAAAUCACAUUAUAUUGCAGUCCCAUGUCAUAACAUUAACUGCUAACGAAUCACAGAUUGAAAACUGUAGAAGACCAUAUAUGCUACAAUU